rnacentral:rRNA from 1 species
GUCGGACGGGAUCCAUCGGAGAGCUUGCUCGAAGAUGGUGAGAGUGGCGCACCGUUUCAUAACGCGUGAGCAACCUACCUCUAUCAGGGGGAUAGCCUCUCGAAAGAGAGAUUAACACCGCAUAACAUCAACAGUUCGCAUGUUCGGUUGAUUAAAUAUUUAUAGGAUAGAGAUGGGCUCGCGUGACAUUAGCUAGUUGGUAGGGUAACGGCCUACCAAGGCGACGAUGUCUAGGGGCUCUGAGAGGAGAAUCCCCCACACUGGUACUGAGACACGGACCAGACUCCUACGGGAGGCAGCAGUAAGGAAUAUUGGUCAAUGGGCGGAAGCCUGAACCAGCCAUGCCGCGUGCAGGAUGACUGCCCUAUGGGUUGUAAACUGCUUUUGUCCAGGAAUAAACCUAAAUACGUGUAUUUAGCUGAAUGUACUGGAAGAAUAAGGAUCGGCUAACUCCGUGCCAGCAGCCGCGGUAAUACGGAGGAUCCGAGCGUUAUCCGGAUUUAUUGGGUUUAAAGGGUGCGUAGGCGGCCUAUUAAGUCAGGGGUGAAAUACGGUGGCUCAACCAUCGCAGUGCCUUUGAUACUGAUGGGCUUGAAUCCAUUUGAAGUGGGCGGAAUAAGACAAGUAGCGGUGAAAUGCAUAGAUAUGUCUUAGAACUCCGAUUGCGAAGGCAGCUCACUAAACUGGUAUUGACGCUGAUGCACGAAAACGUGGGGAUCGAAAAAGAUAGAUACCCUGGGAGUCCCCGCCCUCAACCAAGAAAAAUCCCAGUUUGCGAAAAACAACCCGCGGCCCCACCGAAAACGUUUAAUUUUUCCCCCCGGGGGAGUCCCCCCCCCAGGGGGGAAA